rnacentral:rRNA from 1 species
UACGUAGGGGGCUAGCGUUGUCCGGAAUCAUUGGGCGUAAAGCGCGUGUAGGCGGUCCGGUAAGUCCGCUGUGAAAGUCGGGGGCUCAACCCUCGGAUGCCGGUGGAUACUGUCGGGCUUGAGUACGGAAGAGGCGAGUGGAAUUCCUGGUGUAGCGGUGAAAUGCGCAGAUAUCAGGAGGAACACCGGUGGCGAAGGCGGCUGUCUGGACAGAGUCUGACGCUGAGGCGCGAAAGCUAGGGGAGCAAACAGG